GUAAAGGAAUCAGAAACACAAGGAUUAAGCUUUACUUAAAACAAACAUAGGUUUAAAUGUGGGGAGAGAGCUAUGGGCAAAGUUUGUUAAGAGCUUCCCUCAAUCCCAAAUAUUUGCACAAAGGGUUGAUUUUUCCAGAAUGCAAGUUCUGUAUCUAGUUUGAUGGCAUCAUUCACUAGAAAUUGCCAUUCACCUGGUGUUCUUCCGGCCCAAAGAGAGCUGCCAUUUGCACUCUAACACUUGUCUUCCCCAAAUGGUAAUUGAUUGCUUUCUACGCCAUGCUAGCGCUCGUUUACAAAAGCAGACUCGGAGAGCAGAAAAUAGGCAGCUCCAUGUUCUUGAAUUUGAGGCGUGUUCUGUGCCUGAACAGCGCCUAUAAACAUUACCAGGUGCAUCUUGUAGGCAUUGUUUCCAGAAUGGCCAUCUCACAAUGCUUCUGAUGCGUCUCCAACCACUUUGGCUUAAUUGGUUUCAUGUGCCAUUCACUCUAAUUUUGUGGAAGGCUGGUUUUUCUCUGGCAAUGGGUGACAUUUUCCUGGCCCGGCAAUCACAUGCCUGGGAGGUUUCUACUUGAGUGAAGGCGAAUUCUGGCCAAAGGAGCCUGGCUGACAUGCUGGAGACUCAAAUCCUCCAGACACACAGAGUUACAGACAGAGAACAACUGGCGCCAUGCUGUGCAUUCCCACCCAUCUUCAGCACGUUAGGGAAGUGAGAUGGUGUGCCAUAUGGAUUCUCAAGCAGUCCAGUAAAGAGGACUCUGAGGACCGAAAGCAAAACUUCCUGCCAAGGCACACAGCUUUGAAGGAGCUCUCGCGGGAUCGACCAUUCCAACCCUAUGGGGUUUUUUUUUAACCAAUACCCCAGAACACAGUUAUGAAGUCUAUGUUGCAGAUGGGUCAACAAAUAUGUCUUCAUAUAUAAAUUUUUUUCUGCUUUAAAUUAAGCCUUUAUUUAGGUUUUACAAACUUUGAGAACUAAGCAGCUGUUUAUAUUUUAAAGAAAUCCUUCUAGGCAGUGUAGAAAACAUUCAGACGUUUAAGAGGCAGUAAGACCUCUGCUCUGUGUUUACUGGGUAACUUUGGGCAAAGCACUGAAUGUCCAGUUGCCACUCAGGGAUUCUAAUUACAUUGUGCUUGGAUGGAGGCUGCACAUGGGGUUUUGUAAAGCCCUCUAUAUAAUUCAGAGUGCAUCCAGAAUUGCAAACUACUGAUAUAAUCUCUUAUAGUCUCGGUUUGGAGGUAGUAAUACGGAGCCCUUGGUGGUUUUUGUGAGGAUUAAGGAUAAGUAAUUAAGACGAAGCUCCAAGCAUGGUGUUUGGCAAAUAGCUGGUACAUGAUGGAUGCUAUCCAGGAGUAUUUGAGGUUUGUUUUAAAAUUUUUAUUGUGUUACACAAAGAUUCAGUACUUGCUUAGAUACAUCCGUUCAUUAUUUUUCCCUGGUGAGUCCUAAGGCUUUCAUAUUUAGAAAUCCCUUUCCCUUCAAGUGUCUUAUGAUUUCAUUUUUAUGUUUAUCCCACCUAUCUGGAAUUUACUUGAGCA